CAGGCUUCCGGCUAGCGAGUCAUUCCUUGUCCUUCUCCCGCCGGGCCGGGUUUGCGUCCGCCCUGCCGAGUGCUGUCCUGGCUUUGGUUCCGGGACGCGCUUUUGGCCUACCCGCUUCACAUACCCGUGCCGUUGUCUCCCCUUGCCCCGAAGAAGUGUCCCCAGGUGAUCCCUCCGCUGCUCCCAGCGCCCGAUUGAGCAGCACUCAAUCCUGGCAGGCUACGCUUGGACGAGUUGCCGUCUCCGUGCAUAAAAAAUGAUGCAGUGUGAGGAUUAAAUGAAAAAUGUGCAAAUGAUAUCCACUUGGGGCCUGUUUCAGGGAGUGAGAAGAAAAGAUCUCCAAGGGAUUGGAAGCCUGGAGAGCAGAGAGGUUCUUCCUCUUCCUGGGGGCACGAAGACUUCCUGCCUUGAACCUUAGAACAAGGAAGAACUUGGGACUGCCUCUUGAGGACGCUGGGAAGGAAGGCUUACACUUACCCUUGCUGGUGUGUAUCUAUCUUCUCAUGAUUCCCAGCUCUCUGCUUGGCUUCCUGAUUGCUGAUUUCUUCUUUUCCUCAUAAAAUUGUAGACUGCUUAAGGCAUUUAUUAAAGAACAUUCUUAUAUUCUUUUA